rnacentral:rRNA from 1 species
ACGGGUGAGUAAUGUCUGGGGAUCUGCCCGAUAGAGGGGGAUAACCACUGGAAACGGUGGCUAAUACCGCAUAACGUCGCAAGACCAAAGAGGGGGACCUUCGGGCCUCUCACUAUCGGAUGAACCCAGAUGGGAUUAGCUAGUAGGCGGGGUAACGGCCCACCUAGGCGACGAUCCCUAGCUGGUCUGAGAGGAUGACCAGCCACACUGGAACUGAGACACGGUCCAGACUCCUACGGGAGGCAGCAGUGGGGAAUAUUGCACAAUGGGCGCAAGCCUGAUGCAGCCAUGCCGCGUGUAUGAAGAAGGCCUUCGGGUUGUAAAGUACUUUCAGCGGGGAGGAAGGCGAUGUGGUUAAUAACCGCAUUGAUUGACGUUACCCGCAGAAGAAGCACCGGCUAACUCCGUGCCAGCAGCCGCGGUAAUACGGAGGGUGCAAGCGUUAAUCGGAAUUACUGGGCGUAAAGCGCACGCAGGCGGUCUGUUAAGUCAGAUGUGAAAUCCCCGGGCUUAACCUGGGAACUGCAUUUGAAACUGGCAGGCUUGAGUCUCGUAGAGGGGGGUAGAAUUCCAGGUGUAGCGGU